GACGAACGCUGGCGGCGUGCCUAAUACAUGCAAGUCGAACGCUUCUUUCCUCCCGAUUGCUUGCACUCAAUUGGAAAGAGGAGUGGCGGACGGGUGAGUAACACGUGGGUAACCUACCCAUCAGAGGGGGAUAACACUUGGAAACAGGUGCUAAUACCGCAUAACAGUUUAUGCCGCAUUGCAUAAGAGUGAAAGGCGCUUUCGGGUGUCGCUGAUGGAUGGACCCGCGGUGCAUUAGCUAGUUGGUGAGGUAACGGCUCACCAAGGCCACGAUGCAUAGCCGACCUGAGAGGGUGAUCGGCCACACUGGGACUGAGACACGGCCCAGACUCCUACGGGAGGCAGCAGUAGGGAAUCUUCGGCAAUGGACGAAAGUCUGACCGAGCAACGCCGCGUGAGUGAAGAAGGUUUUCGGAUCGUAAAACUCUGUUGUUAGAGAAGAACAAGGACGUUAGUAACUGAACGUCCCCUGACGGUAUCUAACCAGAAAGCCACGGCUAACUACGUG
rnacentral:rRNA from 1 species